GACGAACGCUGGCGGCGUGCUUAACACAUGCAAGUCGAACGGAAAGGCCCUGCUUUUGUGGGGUGCUCGAGUGGCGAACGGGUGAGUAACACGUGAGUAACCUGCCCUUGACUUUGGGAUAACUUCAGGAAACUGGGGCUAAUACCGGAUAGGAGCUCCUGCUGCAUGGUGGGGGUUGGAAAGUUUCGGCGGUUGGGGAUGGACUCGCGGCUUAUCAGCUUGUUGGUGGGGUAGUGGCUUACCAAGGCUUUGACGGGUAGCCGGCCUGAGAGGGUGACCGGCCACAUUGGGACUGAGAUACGGCCCAGACUCCUACGGGAGGCAGCAGUGGGGAAUAUUGCACAAUGGGCGGAAGCCUGAUGCAGCAACGCCGCGUGCGGGAUGACGGCCUUCGGGUUGUAAACCGCUUUCGCCUGUGACGAAGCGUGAGUGACGGUAAUGGGUAAAGAAGCACCGGCUAACUACGUGCCAGCAGCCGCGGUGAUACGUAGGGUGCGAGCGUUGUCCGGAUUUAUUGGGCGUAAAGGGCUCGUAGGUGGUUGAUCGCGUCGGAAGUGUAAUCUUGGGGCUUAACCCUGAGCGUGCUUUCGAUACGGGUUGACUUGAGGAAGGUAGGGGAGAAUGGAAUUCCUGGUGGAGCGGUGGAAUGCGCAGAUAUCAGGAGGAACACCAGUGGCGAAGGCGGUUCUCUGGGCCUUUCCUGACGCUGAGGGGCGAAAGCGUGGGGAGCGAACAGGCUUAGAUACCCUGGUAGUCCACGCUGUAAACGGUGGGUACUAGGUGUGGGGUCCAUUCCACGGGUUCCGUGCCGUAGCUAACGCUUUAAGUACCCCGCCUGGGGAGUACGGCCGCAAGGCUAAAACUCAAAGGAAUUGACGGGGCCCCGCACAAGCGGCGGAGCAUGCGGAUUAAUUCGGUGCAACGCGUAGAACCUUACCUGGGUUUGACAUGGAUCGGGAGCGCUCAGAGAUGGGUGUGCCUCUUUUGGGGUCGGUUCACAGGUGGUGCAUGGCUGUCGUCAGCUCGUGUCGUGAGAUGUUGGGUUAAGUCCCGCAACGAGCGCAACCCUUGUUCACUGUUGCCAGCACGUUAUGGUGGGGACUCAGUGGAGACCGCCGGGGUCAACUCGGAGGAAGGUGGGGAUGACGUCAAGUCAUCAUGCCCCUUAUGUCCAGGGCUUCACGCAUGCUACAAUGGCUGGUACAGAGAGUGGCGAGCCUGUGAGGGUGAGCGAAUCUCGGAAAGCCGGUCUCAGUUCGGAUUGGGGUCUGCAACUCGACCUCAUGAAGUCGGAGUCGCUAGUAAUCGCAGAUCAGCAACGCUGCGGUGAAUACGUUCCCGGGGCU
rnacentral:rRNA from 1 species